ACUAAACUGGCUCAUUCGCCCUCGACCCACGCCCUCUCUCCUCCCCCGAGAACCCUAACCGAUCACCCAACUCCUCUCUCUCUCUCUCUCACCCGAAUCAACCCCAUCCUCUCUCUGAGCCUCCGGCGAUCGACUCAGGGACUCCAGACCUCCGUCGAUCGACUGUGAUACUGCAGUGGAAAAUGACUCUUUGCCUCUCAAUGGCUUUUGGUUGGAAUACCUGGAAGGUUAAGCGGACUGAAAUAGAAUAAUAUUGCUUGAUUUCAGGCUUGAGGAGAGUUGUAUCCUUUUAGUUGAAAAAGAAGCUUUGCAAUGGAUUCUCAAGCGAGAAAGAAGGCAUUGUAUCGCGCUAAAUUGAAUGCAAAUAAGGUGGAGAAGCGCAUCCAAUCUCCUCUUGUUAGGUACAAUGAAUUUGAUCAACCUGUCUGUAGGGUAUGUGACAUUGUUGUGAAAUCUGAGUCACUUUGGCCCGCACACGAGGCUUCUCGUAAACAUCAUGAGGCGAUUAAUAAUAUCAAAGCUAAUGCAGCUGGACUAACACGAGUUAACAAUGUAAAAGCCGAGUCCACUGCAGAGUUGCCUAAAUCCAAACCUGAGCAUUCUACAUAUCUGCGUGGUGCUAAAGAUAAAGCCUCUGGGGAAUUGCCCAAAGCACAUUCACCAUCGGUGCUUCCGCCAGAUUUUUUUGACAAUAAGGAAGCAAAGAGGCAAAAAACUGCCCCAAUGGAAAAUCCAAAUCCAUUCAAAAAGCCAGGAGAUUCUGCUCAAACUCGAGUGGUCGAGCCGUUGAACUCAGAGAGUACGAGAGAUGCAUUUUCCAGUGCCAAGGUUGUAGAGGAAAAAAGGAUUGAAAUUCAAGGUGACAGUGAGCAAACGUGGACAUCAAAAAUAGUUGCGGGUUCAGAGACCAAGGAAACAAAAAAGUAUCUUCCUGAAGGAUUCUUCGAUGAUAAAGAUGCUGAUCUGCGUGCACGUGGCAUUACGCCUGUUAAGAUAGAUGCCAAGGAUGAGUACAAGGAGUUCGAAAAGUUGAUCCAAGAGGAUUUGCAAGAGGUGGACAAUCGUUUGGAAGAAGAGGAGAUUGAUGCAGCUGAGACAAUAGAAGAGGCCGAGACUGAGGAACAAAAGGCAUAUUGGGAGAGAGUGGACAUGUUGAAGAAGAAGAAAAUGGAGCUAAUGGCUGCCAGAUCUGCCACACAUAGUGGAAGUCCUCGAGUCAAGGGCAGCGAAUCUAACCAUGAAGAUUCAUCAAGUGAUGAUGAUAGUGAUGAGAAUUUCACACUAAAUUGGAGAGCUAAACAUUUUGUAAAUUCUGUCAUUGCUGAUUGAAGGAAUCAAUUUGACUGCUUGUCUUUGUAAGCUUCGACCUAGACCCUGCUACGUUUAUUCAUACCUUUCGGAUGCAUAUCAAACUUAACAUUUCCAGGCUUGGGUUUUCUCUCUGCACAAUCAACUCAAUCCCUAAGGUGAUCUAGGAACCUCAAGGGCCGCUAUGGAGAUCUCCACGAACCAAAUCCGAGCCACGACCUCUAUUUCUUCCCUUGAAUUUGGUUUUAUUUAAAUGUUUAUUAUUUCCUAUGACAGAGUUAACUCUAUAGGAUAAGAUUUCUUUUUGCUGGCUUGUAAAAAUACAGGGAUGACAGGAUGGAUGGUCUGGAUUCUCUGGAGGUCUGAAAUUAGUAUACUUGUUUACCAGUUAGCCUAAACUUUGUACAUGAACAAUGACAAAACCUAUGUAGUUUUUCAAUCUUUAAAUGGUGGAUUCUUUACAAAACCUAUGUAGUUUUUCUGACAAUCAGCUAUCAAAUACUUCCUUUGUCUCA